AUUGAACGCUGGCGGCAUGCCUUACACAUGCAAGUCGAACGGUAACAGGUCUUCGGAUGCUGACGAGUGGCGAACGGGUGAGUAAUACAUCGGAACGUGCCCGAUCGUGGGGGAUAACGAAGCGAAAGCUUUGCUAAUACCGCAUAAGAUCUACGGAUGAAAGCAGGGGACCGCAAGGCCUUGCGCGAACGGAGCGGCCGAUGGCAGAUUAGGUAGUUGGUGGGAUAAAAGCUUACCAAGCCGACGAUCUGUAGCUGGUCUGAGAGGACGACCAGCCACACUGGGACUGAGACAUGGCCCAGACUCCUACGGGAGGCAGCAGUGGGGAAUUUUGGACAAUGGGCGAAAGCCUGAUCCAGCCAUGCCGCGUGCAGGAUGAAGGCCUUCGGGUUGUAAACUGCUUUUGUACGGAACGAAAAGACUCUGGUUAAUACCUGGGGUCCAUGACGGUACCGGAAGAAUAAGCACCGGCUAACUACGUG
rnacentral:rRNA from 1 species